rnacentral:rRNA from 1 species
AUGGAAAGGGUGCCUUUCACAAAAAGAGCUCUGAAGAAUUUGUGUGGUAAAAUAAAUAGAGAACAGUCGGAGGAUGAUGUGAGGAAGACCAUGGAGGUGUUUGCAGAGCUGGGCUCAAGAGAUCCUCACUUCACCUAUCGUGUGCAAGAAGAUGAGGAUGGUCGGAUAGCAACUCUUAUGUGGGCAAAUGGGAGCAGCAGGUUGCAGUACACAUUCUUUGGAGAUGUCGUAACCUUUGAUACAACAUACAAAACAAACCUGUACAACAUGCCAUUUGGUCUGUUUGUGGGUGUGAAUAAUCAUUUCCAGAGCAUCAUCCUGGCCGGUGUUCUUGUCCGUGAUGAAAAGGUGGAGACAUUUGAGUGGGUUUUCACAGAAUUCAUUAGGAUGAUGGGUAGGACUGCACCGAGGACAAUUCUAACAGAUGUGAUGCCUAGUUGUAAAGGAACUAUCUGUGCUAACAAUGUCUGUAGUUGUUUCGAAAUCAUUGUUGUCUAA